AUCCAGUUGACGAGUCCCAAAUAGGAUGAAAUACCCAUCCUGGAU
rfam:Trichobilharzia regenti genome assembly, scaffold: TRE_scaffold0012992